rnacentral:rRNA from 1 species
UACAGAGGGUGCGAGCGUUAAUCAGAAUUACUGGGCGUAAAGCGCGCGUAGGCGGCUUUUUCAAGCCGAUUGUGAAAUCCCCGGGCUUAACCUGGGAACUGCAGUCGGGACUGUCUAGCUAGAGUAUGGGAGAGGGAAGUGGAAUUUCAGGUGUAGCGGUGAAAUGCGUAGAUAUCUGAAGGAACAUCAGUGGCGAAAGCGACUUCCUGGACCAAUACUGACGCUCAUGUGCGAAAGCGUGGGGAGCAAACAGG